UCAGCCCCGGCGCCCCCAAGGCCACCGCACCCCCUGCGCAGAGCAGCGCCCACAGCCCCUUCCCCGGGGCUCUCGCCCGUCGCGCCCCUGCGGAACGAGGGGGACUGCAUCGCCGCGGGCAGCUGGAGCCGUUCCGGGACGGGCGCGGACCGAGCCCGGCGCUGCCGCUCCUGCCCCGACUGUGCCGGUGCGGGACGGGGCCCCACCGGGGCUCGGUUCUGCUCGGGCCGCUCAUCCGACACCUGCCAGGUGAGACCUGAUGCUCUCCCUCCUUCCCUCAACUUUCCUUGUGGCUCGCACUCUCCCAUGCAAAAAACCUCUGGGUUUAAAAAACCAGUGAAAACUGCUCAUUGUUUAUUUCCAGGUCAUCAGAUAUCCUGAGUGGGAAGGCACACACAAGGAGUACCAGGCUGAACCCUUAUGUGAAGGGCUCAGCUGGGGAUUGAACCCACAACCUGGGCAUUUUCAGCACCCUGCUCCAACCAAGCCAAUCUCAGGUCACGGCAAUGUCCUGCCUGGGACGGGAAUGCCAAGUUCGAGCAGGGGAAUUCCUAGGCCAAUGCAGCUCUUUCUUUUAUGCCAAUGCUGCCUUACACACCAGCCCCUGGAAUGUCCAUAAGGCAGAGCUCCAUAGCCAGCACCUGACCAUGGAACAACACAGGGAGAAACGAGCAAGACAAGUCCUGAGGGCUCCCUUGGUCCAAGGCCAAAGUUCUGGAGAGUGUCAGGGCUGGUCCCACCUGCAGAGGGACGUUUCCUGCAGUGAGAAGAAGAUGAACUCACCACCAUUAAGGCCUGGCAGUUCCCUGCAGCGAGAGCUCAGUGCACAUCCAGGGAGGCAAUUCCAGCAUCUGAAAGAAAGAAAGGAAGAAAAAGGCACUUCUGCAAUCCAGCCCUGAAGCUGAGAAGCCCAAAAGCUCGGGAGUCUGCUCUGGAACAAAAGGAUACUCCCAGGGCAGGAAAUCCCCAGGGGGAACAGAAACUCUCAGGGUGCACAAAAUGCAGCAUCUGUGACCCUGAUCCUGCCUGAGCUCAGCGUGUGGGGCCAACCCCCCAAGGAGCUGCAAGAGGAAUGUCAGUCGUCGGCUUCACCUCCUCGGCGUUGCCUCGUUAGUCCAGGAGAUAAUUAAUUCAAAGAGAAUUAAUCUGGUCAGUGGCAGAUUAUCCCAGCGAAACAUCAUCCUUGCCACAGGAUAUUCCGACCCCUGUGGGCAGUUCUCUGAUCAAGAACUACUUCCUAAACUCAGUCAUUCCAUCUAAACCACAGCAGCACAGUUUGGAGUGACAGAAGUUUUCAGCCUUGUGUGAACGAAGACAGAAACAUCACUGGGAGAAAAUCCUGAAGUUUAAAAUCCUAUUCCUCACUUCUUUGACCAAUGAACCUCUUAAAAUCCAGUCUGAAUUGUGCAGAAAAGUUCCUUGGUCCCACCUGGAAAUUGAUUUCCCCCAAACCCAUUGAACAGUUAUUACAACUGAUUCCAUUAAUUACUAUGGAAAAGACAAUACAAAUAAACUGGAAAAAACAUUUGA